AGGUUUGAUCCUGGCUCAGAACGAACGCUGGCGGCGUGCCUGAGACAUGCAAGUCGUGGGAGAAAGUCGUAGCAAUACGGCUAGUACACCGGCGCACGGGUGAGUAACACGUGGACAACCUGCCUUAGAGUCUGGGAUAACCCGUCGAAAGACGAGCUAAUACCGGAUAAGACCACGGGAAGUUCGCUUCCUGAGGUAAAAGAUGGCCUCUGCUCCUGCAAGCUAUCACUUUGAGAGGGGUCCGCGUCCUAUCAGCUAGUUGGCGAGGUAAUGGCUCACCAAGGCUAAGACGGGUAGCUGGUCUGAGAGGAUGGUCAGCCACACUGGGACUGAGACACGGCCCAGAGUCCUACGGGAUGCAGCAGUCAGGAAUAUUGCGCAAUGGAGGAAACUCUGACGCAGCGACGCCGCGUGGGUGAUGAAGGCCUUCGGGUCGUAAAGCCCUGUCGGAGGGGAAGAAAAGUCUGUUGGCUAAUAUCCAGCGGACCUUUGACGGUACCCUCAAAGGAAGCACCGGCUAACUCCGUG
rnacentral:rRNA from 1 species